CGGUUCAUUCAUUCGUUUAGCAAAUGUUCCAUGCUGCCAGCCUCUAUUGCGCCAGGCUCCGUGCCAGAUUCUCAGGGUGCCAACUCGAAUACCCCACACUUCCCUUCGCUUAAUCCAUCAUCGGAUAUUUAUUGGGAACCAACUAUGAAUCAACUGAUUCUGCUGGAUCUCUGCCCUCUAAGAGCUUACAUUCUAGAGGAAGAGACAUAGUUCAAGCCGACAAAUAGGUGAAGAUGAUUUCAGAUGCUGUUUCAUGAAGAUAAGAUAAUAACUCAAGUGACUGGACUGCAGCUUCCUGAUGGGCUCCUGUUCUUUUUUGUUUCUACAUCUCUGACCAGGCCCAGGAGGCAUUUCUACUGCUUCUUAACUGCUGCUCAUAAUUUUGAGGUUUGUUUCUACGUCACCCAGGAGGGAAGUCUCACUUGACCAAACCUAAGCUGGGUUGGAUACCCUCCCCGAGACUCCCCCAGGCCCCUGAAUUUACCUGUAUGGUAACACUGAGCACACUGAACCGUCA